AUAUAACCGUCUAAAACAUUCAUUUAUACCACUCUCCAUUAACCUGAUAAAUGGCAGACUAGCGGGGCCUGGACAGAGUAACAGGAGGUCCAGACAAUGACCAACAGUAGUAUGUAGAGGAUGUAUUGGGGAUGUACUGCCGAUCUGACAUUUGUGCUUUUAUGUAUUUUUGUUUGUUUGUUUGUUUGUUUGUUUUUUUGUAUUUAUUCAUGGUUACUGUCCUUUUGGAUGGGCUUUUAUUGUUGUAUUGCAGUUUUGUCCCUGCUUCCAAGAUACAUUUUUCUUAUGGGAGACUAAUAAAAUUAUCUUAUCUUAUCUUAUCUUAUCUUAUCUUAUCUUAUGUAUGAGGUUGAAAAAGAGUCAGUGAGUUGAAUUCAUGAAUUCCAUUUAUUAGUACCAAACAACAGCUGGUCCAUUUCUCAUGCCACCUUUAGGAGAUAGCAGAUCAAAAUGGCAACAAUCAACACUUGGUAACUUCUUUUGUUAGCCUCUGUCUAAGCUACGCCCUAAAGAGGCCGUUCCCUAGUGUGUCAUAUCCUUUGACCCUAGCUUUCAUUUGCAUUUCC